rnacentral:rRNA from 1 species
UACGAAGGGUGCAAGCGUUGUUCGGAAUCAUUGGGCGUAAAGCGCGCGCAGGCGGAUUGGUAAGUCAGGUGUGAAAUCUCGGAGCUCAACUCCGAAACUGCGCCUGAAACUACUAGUCUAGAAUGUCGGAGGGGGCAGGGGAAUUUCACGUGUAGGGGUAAAAUCCGUAGAGAUGUGGAGGAAUACCGAUGGCGAAGGCAGCCCCCUGGGUUAACACUGACGCUCAUGCACGAAAGCGUGGGGAGCAAACAGG